GUUUCUCAAUCCUUUUGCUCGCUCUGUCUCCGUCUCGUUCUCCUCUCCCCGAGCUCCGCCGCUCCGCUCGGGCUCCUCACGCCCGCUCCGCCGCCGCCUUCCCGGAGCCUCCUAGCAGCGGAUAUUCAUGACUAUUAAUAUUACACGAAUACUUAAUAAGGGAAGAAUGGCCGCAAAUCGAGCGUGAAGCGCGAAGGCAACUCAAGGCAGAGCCCGUUCUAAAUGACGUCCAUUGAAUGAGGAAUCGGUGUAUCUAAUCAGCGCCGGGGAGAGAGGGAGAGAGAGGGAGAGAGAGACAAAAAGGAGGGAGGGAGGGAGCGCGGCGCGCAGGGGGGACAUGCCGCCGCGUCUGGCGAAUCACAGGGAAGGGGCCACAUUUUAAAAGGUUGCGGGGCAUGCAAAAGUGAAAGAGAAAGAGAGCGGAGAGAGGCAGAGGGUGGGAGCCGGGAGGGGUGCGGCGGAGGUGGGAGAACCGUGCGGCGGGGGGAAGGGGGGGGGGAAGAGGGGGGGGAGGGGGGCGCGGGAUCCCCUUUCCUUCUCUCCUUCCCUCCCUCCUCUUCCUCCCUCCCUCCUCGCCCCCAGCCCCGGGCGCACCUCGGGCUGCGGCUGCUGAGCGAAGCCGGGCUCGAAGGCGGCGGCGGAGGAGAAGAGCGGCCGCUCCCGGCUCCCGCCGCCCUCCGCCCCGCCGCCCUCGCGCGGGGGGGGCUCCGCCGGCGCCGCCGCCGCCCCGUCCAUGCCCCGCCGAGGGGUCCCCGCUCCGCUGUCGCCGCCGCGUCCUGGAAAGUUGUCCUCCUCCUCCUCUUCCUCCCGCACCUCGAGCCCCGCCAGCAUCCGCCGCCCCCCGCUCGGAGGAGCCGGGAAAAGAGGAGGGAAGGAAGGGACGAAGGGAGGAAGGAGGGCGGGCGGGACGCGGGGGGGAGAAGGAGAAAGCCGGGCACGGCGGGAGGGAGGCACGGCGAGCUCUCCUCCGUCCGGCCCAGACACGCCGGGCCCCGCGCAACCCGUCCGACUGGCUGCGCGACUCCGGCACCGCCCUCCGCGCCGCUCCUCUGCCCCUAUCCCGGCCCCGGCUCCGCACUGCGCCGGGCCUUGACGGGACGAAAUCGGCGCCCGCGGGGGCCGGGGCCGAAGACCCGACGGCAGCGGCACGCAGGCGGCGCUGACCCACGACGGCGGCCCUGGGGCGGGGAGGAGGCGAAGUUCUCGCCGCGCCUUCGGCCGAGGGACGGAAUAAUCGUUAUAAUAAUCGUAAUAAAAUAAAAAAGCUCCCCGGCGCCCCGUUGCCAGACGUCGCGUAUCCGACAGCUCGGCCUCGCUCCGAGCAGCGGCUGCGUCCCAGCGCUCGGGGCAGGGCUGAAGCACCGCAUCCUUCGGUCCUCGGCGGUUCCCCGGCCCCUGCCCUACGCCGCGGCAUCGCCCGGCCCCAAAUCAGUACAUUCGUUGGCACGGUGCAGUCCUUUUAUUGAUCCGCGCCGCAAGGAGAACUUUUGUGGAAGCGCUUUACCCGCAGCCGGAGCGCCUCAUUAGCAUAGCGACCGCGGCCCAAUUGCUCGCCGGCUCCGACCCGCGCCCGCCGCAGCUGUUCUCUUCCCCCUC
rnacentral:lncRNA from 1 species